CGAGGUUGGUGCUCUCCUCGUCCACAGCGCUUGAAAAAGAAGUCAGGUCACGGGACUACCCCAACGACUGCACCCCGCGGUGCUGGCACGCCUGCGCAAUCACUCGCUCAAAAGAGACUGUUUGCACACCAGCUGGUUUUGGAGCCAAACAUUUUGGCACGCCCAGUGGGACCUGAAAAUUAGGGUUUCUUUCUGAACUCAACCAUUGGGAAGCCCAGCGAUAACCCUUACCAAAAAGGUUACGCUAGCUGCCCAAAGCAUAAGACCUCCAGCUACAGAUCGCAUUCUCGUGCGGACUGUCGUGGUCUAUCUGAGGAACAAGUGACGCAACGAUUCUCUCUGCAGACUCAAUCAUCCAGUAUGUCAACUUCUCAAGGUGAGAAUCGCUCGGCCGCAACUGAAGGUCGGAGCGUCAACGCUAAUCAGGCCAGCGAGCC
rnacentral:lncRNA from 1 species